rnacentral:rRNA from 1 species
AGAGCGAACGCUGGCGGCAGGCCUAACACAUGCAAGUCGAGCGCCCCGCAAGGGGAGCGGCAGACGGGAGAGUAACACGUGGGAACGUACCCUUCAGUUCGGAACAACCCAGGGAAACUUGGGCUAAUACCGGAUACGUCCGUAAGGAGAAAGAUUUAUCGCUGAAGGAUCGGCCCGCGUCUGAUUAGCUAGUUGGUGGGGUAAUGGCCCACCAAGGCGACGAUCAGUAGCUGGUCUGAGAGGAUGAUCAGCCUCAUUGGGACUGAGACACGGCCCAAACUCCUACGGGAGGCAGCAGUGGGGAAUAUUGGACAAUGGGCGCAAGCCUGAUCCAGCCAUGCCGCGUGGAUGAUGAAGGCCUUAGGGUUGUAAACCGCUUUCAGUUCCGACGAAGCGCAAGUGACGGUAGGAACAGAAGAAGGACCGGCCAACUACGUGCCAGCAGCCGC